GGGGCAUGUGAGUCUGGUGGUUUCGCCCUAAGGGUCCUGGGUAUCUGGUGCUCGGCACUUUGCCAGUCUCAGCCACUGGCUCAGCCUUUCCCCUGGAGAUAUAGAGGCUAUGGGGGCAGUGAUCUGGAAGGCCAGCUGUGUAGAAGUCCCUGAGGGUCAAAGUCUAGGUCUGGCAGUGUUGGAGAAUAAAACCCUUGGCUGGCCAAACACUGGGAGGCUGCACCUGCUGCUCUGCAAAUAUGCCUGCCCCUGCCUGAGCAGGAGGCCUCAGCCAGCCCUCAGCAGGAACCCAGCCAGGGCCACCCACCCCAGCCAUGCUAAGCCUCUGCCAGAGUGAGAGAGGCCCGCGUGGGCCAGGGGUGGCACAAGAGUCACUCUCAGGGUGGGCCAAAGGGUAUCACAGAGACAGCCCGGCCCUGGAGCCAUGCAGACCAGGAGCCGGGUGCCACCUCCAACACCAACUCACAGUGACUUUGGGCAAGUCCUUUUUUUGUCUUGAACCUCAGUGGGCCUAGUCUUGGCAACUGUGCAGUCGAGUGUCCAGCCCAGGGUCUAGACCAGAGCCAGUGGCAGCAAACAGCCCUGUUAUCAAGAAGCAACAUAACAAGAAGAAAGGAGAAAAAAGGGCUGGCAACAGGACCCGGCCCUUGCCCUUGUGAAAACGAAGCCAGCUGAUACCCAAGGCCUGCCACAGAAUCAGCCCCCAUCCUGAGCCUGCAUCAGCCAAGAAGGAAAAAGGUUCCACAGCCAACUGCAACCAGUGCUUUGCCUACAGGAUAUUCCAUUUGGAGCCCCAGGCCCAUGUGGCCCUUCUGCCAGAGCCAGGGAGCCCACUGCAGCCCUGAGGGCACUCACAUGGACAUGUUCUGGAAGCCUGUGCCAUUCUCCCAGCUGUCGAAGACGGGGAUUGUGCAGGGUGAGAGAAUGGUCCUCCAUGGCCCAGGGACAUCACCCAGGCAGCACUACCCACUGGGUGCAUAGGUGCAUGCCGACAGGGAAACUGAGGCGAAGAAGGGGCAGGGAUCCCACAGCAGUCGCACCACAAGGCUGGUCUCCCGCCUCCUGGUCCCCACCCUCUGGAGAAGCACACCCAGUUCUAGUGG
rnacentral:lncRNA from 1 species